AUUGAACGCUAGCGGCAUGCUUUACACAUGCAAGUCGAACGAGUGGCGGACGGGUGAGUAAUAUAUCGGAACGUGCCCAGUAGAGGGGGAUAACUACUCGAAAGAGUGGCUAAUACCGCAUACUAUUAGAGCGGCCGAUAUGGGAUUAGCUAGUUGGUGGGGUAAAGGCUCACCAAGGCAACGAUCCGUAGCUGGUUUGAGAGGACGACCAGCCACACUGGGACUGAGACACGGCCCAGACUCCUACGGGAGGUAGCAGUGGGGAAUAUUUGACAAUGGGGGAAACCCUGAUGCAGCCAUGCCGCGUGUAUGAGAAGGCCUUCGGGUUGUAAAGUACUUUUGGCGGGGAAGCGGUAUCUGCAGAAUAAGCACCGGCUAACUACGUGCCAGCAGCCGCGGUAAUUC
rnacentral:rRNA from 1 species